UGAGGCUCGAAAAGUAUGGGUAGCAAACAGGAUUUAGAUACCCUGGUAGUCCAUACCGUAAACGAUGAAUGCUAAGUGUUGGAGGGUUUCCGCCCUUCAGUGCUGCAGCUAACGCAUUAAGCAUUCCGCCUGGGGAGUACGGCCGCAAGGCUGAAACUCAAAGGAAUUGACGGGGGCCCGCACAAGCGGUGGAGCAUGUGGUUUAAUUCGAAGCUACGCGAAGAACCUUACCAGGUCUUGACAUACUAUGCAAAUCUAAGAGAUUAGACGUUCCCUUCGGGGACAUGGAUACAGGUGGUGCAUGGUUGUCGUCAGCUCGUGUCGUGAGAUGUUGGGUUAAGUCCCGCAACGAGCGCAACCCUUAUUAUCAGUUGCCAGCAUUAAGUUGGGCACUCUGGUGAGACUGCCGGUGACAAACCGGAGGAAGGUGGGGAUGACGUCAAAUCAUCAUGCCCCUUAUGACCUGGGCUACACACGUGCUACAAUGGAUGGUACAACGAGUUGCGAACUCGCGAGAGUAAGCUAAUCUCUUAAAGCCAUUCUCAGUUCGGAUUGUAGGCUGCAACUCGCCUACAUGAAGUCGGAAUCGCUAGUAAUCGCGGAUCAGCAUGCCGCGGUGAAUACGUUCCCGGGCCUUGUACACACCGCCCGUCACACCAUGAGAGUUUGUAACACCCAAAGUCGGUGGGGUAACCUUUUAGGAACCAGCCGCCUAAGGUGGGACAGAUGAUUAGGGUGAAGUCGUAACA
rnacentral:rRNA from 2 species